rnacentral:rRNA from 1 species
GACGAACGCUGGCGGCGUGCUUAACACAUGCAAGUCGAACGGGCCCGCCCCUGUUUUUGGGGGUGGGUUGAGUGGCGAACGGGUGAGUAUCACGUGAGUAACCUGCCCCCUGCUCCUGGAUAACUGCUUGAAAGGGCGGCUAAUACGGGGUGUGCCGGCUGGUCCGCAUGGGCCUGGUCGGGAUAGUUUCAUCUUCGGGUGUUUCGGUGGGGGAUGGGCUCGCGGCCUAUCAGCUUGUUGGUGGGGUGAUGGCCCACCAAGGCGGUGGCGGGUAGCCGGCCUGAGAGGGUGGGCGGCCACACUGGGACUGAGACACGGCCCAGACUCCUGCGGGAGGCAGCAGUGGGGGGUAUUGCACAAUGGGCGGAAGCCUGAGGCAGCGACGUCGCGUGAGGGAUGGAGGCCUUCGGGUUGUGAACCUCUUUCUCCGGUGGUGAAGGCCCUGUCCGUUGCGGCGGGGUUGACGGUAGCCGGGUAUGAAGCGCCGGCUAACUACGUG